AUUGAACGCUGGCGGUAGGCUUAACACAUGCAAGUCGAGCGAGAAAGCCUUCGGGUGAGUAGAGCGGCGGACGGGUGAGUAACGCGUGGGAAUCUACCGAGUAGUGGGGGACAACCGUUGGAAACGACGGCUAAUACCGCAUACGCCCUACGGGGGAAAGAGGGGGAUCAUAAGACCUCUUGCUAUUCGAUGAGCCCGCGUUAGAUUAGCUAGUUGGUGGGGUAAAAGCCCACCAAGGCGACGAUCUAUAGCUGGUCUGAGAGGAUGAUCAGCCACACUGGAACUGAGACACGGUCCAGACUCCUACGGGAGGCAGCAGUGGGGAAUAUUGGGCAAUGGACGCAAGUCUGACCCAGCCAUACCGCGUGUGUGAAGAAGGCUCUAGGGUUGUAAAGCACUUUAAGUUGUGAGGAAAGGUUGUGUAUUAAUACUAUACAGCUGUGACGUUAACAACAGAAUAAGCACCGGCUAACUCCG
rnacentral:rRNA from 1 species